GUGUGUGUGUGUGUGUGUGUGUAUCAGCCUCACAUCCUUACCCAAGGGAGAUAUGCAUGUCACUUUCUAUAUCUUGACAAUACUUGGGUCACCUUGGCUUUCCUCCUCCCUCUCCCUGUCUCCUCAAGUGUCUGUGCAGAUGUGGCCAGUCCCACCUAUAACCCAUAGUUAGCAAAAUGAGACCAUCUGUUCUAAGAUGUGUCCAGCUUUCCUUCUCAGGAGUCCUGGUCUGCGUUUCAAAGCAGCCUAGCCCUAGAUGUAAUGGAAUCAGUGCUCUGUGGCCAUGGCCCUCUUCCCUGUGUCCUGUUCCUGGACAUCCCUGUCUGUCAUCUCAUUGUGCCUUGCUGGCUGGACUGAGAACUCCAGGACUGCAGGGAUCUUAGGGACAAGGUAUGCAGGGAUUGCCAUCCAUUUGAACCGUAGUUUGCUUAUUUCUCGAUGGCCUUCCUUUGUCUUUUCUAAACAAACAAGGAGGACACUUGAACAGUAAUGCUGGAGAAUGUUUUUCUAAGAUGCUGUUUGUAAGCAAAUCUGACUUUAAGGUGAAAUGUGAAUGGGUAACUAAUUGCCAGGGAAUUUAGCACUGAACUAGACAGUCAAACGUUUUUAACCUUUGCAGGAAGAAAUAGAUUUUGCUCUCAUCUAAAUAUUCACAGGAAGUAAUGUUGUAAAUACUUUUCUAAAAAUAUUUAUUACAUGUGCUGUAUACAGAUUCAUGUUCUGACUGAUGUUGGUUUGCAUUGUAUUGUGAAAUAUCUUUUGAGCAGUGGACUUCUUUCAUAACACAGAGAAAGAACAAAAACCAGUAGAUUGAGAGCUGUUUGGGACAUUUGACCUUAAUGUACCAUUCAAUCCAAGCUUUAAUUGUCCCCCUCUUCUCAUCUGGUUAUGUUAUAUAUGUGUGUUAACGCACGUGCCACACACACACACACACACACACACACAGGUGUGUGAUAAACUGAUCAAUACCCAGGUCUGCAGAGCAGAUCUCCAGGUGUUCUUUCUGAUGUGUUUGUUCCCUAAGCAAUAAGACCCUAGCUGAUGACGUGUUCUGGGCCUGCCUUGGCCUUGUCUCAGAGGAUCAGGUAGGGGUAGAACAGCUCUUGCGAAGCCCUCUUGCCUUUGCUGGAGAGGCUGUUGUACUUGAAUUUUUUCUUCUGUUUGUCUGCACACUCCUCAUUUCAUAUAACUCUAGCAGUGGACAAGAAAUCUGCCAGCACCGGACACAUUAAAGGUGGACAUGUAUAUCAAGAAAUUGGGAAUGUUCGAUGAAGUCAUAAAGUUCUCCGAAUCCAGUAGAAGCAGAGUUCAUUUUGCCAUAGAGUAAAUGUAAGAACUUGUUACAUGGUCUAUUAAAUAUCCCUUGCUAUAUAUGACCCACCAUUAGAAGCCAGCGUAUGUCCUGCUAGCCUCUGUGCCUGGGCCUGUAAAUCCAUAGCCCCCACAGUCUGGGGCACACCCUUCAGGCCAGUAGAAAGAGGCAGUCCCUCUGUCUCCCAGUGUGCCUAGCUCAGCAGGCUCCUAAAGCUGUUUAGCAACCUCUCCUUGUGACUGUCCUAAAUUUUGUGAAAAAAGAAAUGCUCCCACCCGGGUAACCAUGGAUAACAGUAAUGUAGUUUUCUAGGCUUUUGGAAUGUCUUCUGUAUUUAUGAUAGUGUUCAGAAUUUUUCACUAGUGUUUUUUUAGAUUGAAAGUGAUGGGUGCAUUAGGAUAAAACUUUCCAUUGCGGAGCCUGAAAGCAAGCAGAGGAAAGAAUUUGACCCAUAUUGUGUUGUUUGGAAGGUGACUAGGUGAGGGUGGGGGUGGGGGGGUUGUAGAUUAUGUGGGGAGGAAAUAGAUUUUUGACCAGAGUCUCCCCCAAGUCUUUGAUACUUUGUAAUAAAAACUCUUCUUAUUAGCCUCACUUAAUCUCAAUAGACACCUGCUGUUUACCCUCAGGGAACAAAUGGUUUUCAAAAUUGAGUUCCUCCAAGGUUGUCAGCCUGUGCCUGUGUGUGCUGGUCCUCUUUGUGAACUCAUGGCAUUAUUCUCCUGUAUCCAUUGUGAUGUUAAGAAAUUCAACCCCAAUUUGUAUUAAAAGCACAGCCCAGGGUCCUAAUUUAGGCUACAAUAAAUGCCUUUGAUGGACCAGGGGAUCAUAGGAGGCCCACACAAUUUAACUCAAGCUCAGGUGCCAUGUUGGAUUUUUCUUUUUAGGCUUCAAACUUUCAGAAAGAGUUUAAGGCAAGGGCUGAUGAUCCAGGCUGCUCUAAAAUGAAUCUGCCAUUCCUUUAAAGAUCUUUCUGGUUCCUCCCACUGUUGACAUUGCUGAGAUCAAUCUGAUAGGUGUUCAGAUGUGCUCCUUUUUGCUGUCUUGUGAGUGUUAGCCAGUGUUCCAAAAGCCCAAGGAUGGCUGGGGAGAGCCUAGCCCCUUUCUGGUACCCAGUGUGUUUCCCCAGCCUGUAUGGAAGAGGCCCUU